rfam:TPA: Aspergillus nidulans FGSC A4 chromosome III
GGCACUUUGGCGGAGUGGUUAACGCGAUGCCCUGCUAUAGUAUCUUCGAUACAAGCGAGGCAUUUCCUUCGGGAGCGUGAGUUCGAAUCUCACAGGUGUCG